CCGGGCACCCGCGCGCCAUCGCAGCCGGCGAGUCCCGGCCGCCGGCUCGAUUUUCCGUGUUCUUCGCUCUCCCUCCCCCUCCAGACUCGCUUCCUAAAGCUGACGCUUGAAAUAAAUUGGGAAUAAACGCGGGCAGGCAGCAGCGGGAGUUAUUUUGCACAGGGCUCCGCGCAGAGACUUCAUGACUUUCCUCGAAAUUAUUGGGGUCUGCCAGUAUUUUUCAGGGCGGAAGGGGGUGAUGAGGAAAGUAGCAGAUUCUUAGAACUAAAGACUCCAAGUCGAAAAGUCAAAAGCAGAGCGGGGAGGAGGAGCAGGAGCAAGGCUGGGAAAUGCUCUGCUGAGGAGUCCCGAGAACGUGGGGUGGAGAUGGCUGGGGCUUUCUGCAGAUCCGGCUCGGAGGGGCUUUUGGUUUUUUGUUUUAAUUUUUUGUUUUUGCUGUCAGAGGUAGACACCCCGUCCAAAGAGAGGGAAUGCUUGCAUUUUCUCACUUUGAGGGUCUGGGCGGCCCCACCUCCUAGCCCCGAGACCCCCAGCCCCGGGGUCCUGCGCGAAGUGAGAGAGGAAGGGAGGGAACAAUGAGCUGAGAGCCGGGAAUGUGCCCCCAGCGCCUGUUUACAAACACGCAGCUAUUUAUGAUCGCCGGAAAGCGAAACCCGACGCGGGCUCGCAGCAGCCCAGACCUCGCGGGCGGAGCCGCGGCCGAGGAGCUGCGGGGAGGGAGGCUCUUUUUCGGAUCCUCUCCGGGGAAGCGGCGGUGCGCCCAGGGCGCGGCGCGGCACGGCAGGGCCCGAGUGUUCGGCUUGGGCCACGGGCGCGCCGCCUUUGUCUUCGAGGCGCCGAGGGGCUCUGGCCGUGGCCGUGCUCGGGCCUGAAGGGACCCGGCACCCUCAGCUUUUCCCUGGCGACGCCCCACGCUCUCUUCCUCGGCCUUUUUCCUCCGCACCCUAAUCCGCUUUCCUGUCCGCAACCCGGCUCAGAGAAAACUCCCAGUGCCUAAGGCAUUCACUUCGAAAUCUGAGGUUUCAGACAAAAAGCUGCCCUUACCCACAACUCCGAGGCUCCAAUCAGCCACUGAUUUUAACUUUCUCCAUUGAAAUACCUAUUCUCUGGCCUAAACAAACAAAAAAAAAAACCCUUUCCUUUAUUCUCCCACUCUGAGCUUGUCUCUUAUUAUUAUAUUUUGUGGUGUUAUUUUUGUUUUUAUUUUUCAGCCCUCCUGACUCUGAUCUGCCGAGAUGGCUCAGCCGCAGUAGCUCGACCUGCGGGCUGGAAGCCUCACAUCCCCAACCAGGGCUCGCAGCUCGCUCAGCUCCGAGCAAGAUUUUUCCUUCUCUCUCCAGCUGGAACCUCGCAGAAAACUCCCCCUGCGGUCGACUGGAAAAUGAGCUCACCCAAAUCUCGGAUCUUUUACUUUUCUCCUUCGCAAACAUGUGCAGAAUUUUCUGGCACAAACGCACUGGUACAUCAAGCGGGAGGUGUAGGCAGGCCCGCGUGUCAAAGCCAAGGGGAUCCGGGUGACUAACCAGCGCCUUUGUGCCACUGCCUGAUAUUCUCUGACAACGCCCCCCACCGCCCCCCACAACUCCCCCACCGCCUAUGAACUUGGAAAGAGACUUUCAGGCCAAGAUGGAACCUCCCGGUCUCAGGAAGGCGAUUCUGUAUAUUUCUCGGGAAACUGCGCUGGCUGGGUCAGGCAACGCAAUCCUUUUUCGAUUGUUGAGAGACCCCAACUGGGCCGGCUGCCUACAGCCCUUCCCCGAACCCCAGCCCAGCCGCCUGCGGCCAACACCUGAGCGCCUGGGGAGGGCUGCUCGCGGGGGUAGGAGCGCUGCCUCUCCAGCAGGCCCGCCAGGCAUCCGCGCCGUGGACCUUAGGGGGAAACUAGGGGAGGGGUGUCAAGCCAAACCUCGACAUGGGUGCAUCUACGUUUAUGAUCUCUAAAUGAAGUGUGAGGGAAAUUGUGUAAGUAUAAUUUAACUCAAAGAAAUUUCCUGCGAAAUACAUUUCGAUGACCAUAGACUUUUAACAGCCCUAGGGGUUCUCCGGCAAGCCUGAGAAACCAGCUUGGAGUUACCUCAACUCUGCCGCCACAUUCUCAAAUUUGGAAAAGGCCAGUGUGAGGUUUUUAAAUAUAUAUAUAUAUAUAUAUAUAUAUAUAUAUAUAUAUAAUUUAUUUUGUAUUGUUGCUUUCUGGUAAGUAUUCUCUUUUGUUUUCUAGCAGAGCUGAAAAUAAAAAGUUUCAGGUAAGUCACUCCUUUUCAAACAACCAAGAAUUUCAAAGCAUUAGGAAGACUGUUUUGCUCUUUAACUAUGAUGUGUCAGACUGCCUUAUAGAUGUACUUUAAAUUACCUACACACAGCUUUUCUUUAAAGAAAUAGUUUGUGUGUCGGCUUAAAGUAAACUCUUAUUUGUUUUGAAGUGUCUUAUUUUCUUCCCUUCAUCCCUCCCCUCUUUUCCAUUUAUAACUGUGACCCUAAUGCUAUUCCUAGGCCUUUAUGGGAUUAAUUCUGAACAAUCAAGGGUCUAAAACACUUUUACAAUGUAAUUACAGUAGUACAAAUUGUUUGCCCAAGCCUCGUUCUGGAUAAGGAUUUUACAAUUAGCAAACAGUUAUUACAGUUGGGGCUUGCUGAGAGGAAUCGCGCAGAGGACACGUCUAGAGUUGCAAUCUAGUAGCCAUAAAAAAACCCUCCUUUAUCAGGGUAGCAAUUAAUCACUUAUUAAAAAGAAAAGGUAAAGGGAUAGUUCUAGUUAUGUUAGUAAACUACUAUGCAUAUUUAUACCUGUGCUUUGACAGCACCUCUCAGCUUAUUUCAGAUAGUUGCUUUUUAAGGCAGUAACACUUUAUCUUGGGAAAACUUGGCCUAGUGAAGGGUUCUGGCACUUGCCUCUGGUUCUUGCACAUGGGCCUUCCAUACUCCACUUACCCUUCAUAUCCCAGAGCAUCUUCCCAAAUACAGAGAAGGAGGACUUUAAAGAGGCAAUCUGAGGCCUAAGUCUCCAUUGUUUACACCCUCCUGCAAGGAGGCUUUUAAAGUAAGUGGUGCCUCUCCAGGCUGUUGCUACAGUCCUGACUGAGAAUUCUCUUCUCAUUUUCUGUUCUACUAUAGGGAACUGUGCUUUCGAAAGAACUAUAUCCUGAACUAGGCUUUUGUCCCAAAGUUACACUGAUGAACCAGCUCUAAACCCCUCAGAAAUUAGAAAGAGGCACCUCUUAAGGUAAAAUGUGUGUGUAUUUGCCAGCCCAGAAUAAACAAAAGCCUGCUAAUCAAUCGAGUUUGGCAGCUGUGUUCACGGAAUGAUAAGGGUUUAUCAUCUGCCACCUAACUUUCAGAUCCCUGAGAAAAUGUUGGGAUCGCUCUUUCGGUUGUCCUGUGGUGAGGAGGCUUGUGACUUGUACCUCAAGAACUUUCAUCCUCCACGUCUUCCCCGCUGCAUUAACAUUUACAUUUCAAAAAAACAGAAAUAAGAGCAGGGAAAGACAGUUGAAAGAAAAAUAGAUUUAAAAUCUAGUAGAGAUAAUGGAGGAAUGCUGGAGAUAAGAGCCUGGAUGUGAUAUGAGAAAGGUACCAAGAAGUCAAAGCUAAUGAAUGGCUGUGAGAAAAGUGAAAUAAACUAUUUAGAGGUCUAUAAAAGGGAGAAACCUGGUUAGGUGCUAUGAAAGGUGGUUAACCUCGGGGAUUAGGAGAGACGUUAAUCAAGUGCCCCAGAGCAAUCCGGGCUGUAAGAGCUGGGGGAUUUGUUUACUGCAUUUUGCUUCAGAAAACAAAGAAUGUCUGGGUCCAGUUCAGGAGUCAGUGAGAGGUCAGCUCAGGCUCUCCAACUGUCCGAGGGAAAAAGCUAAUUCACUGUAUUCUGACUGGAUCAUGCAAAAGUUAAGAAAAAAGGGUGGGGGUGUUUUCCUAACUAUCUUUCUAUUUCAAAUCAUUAAAGCACUUUGGUCUCUAGAGAGG